rnacentral:rRNA from 1 species
AUUGAACGCUGGCGGCAUGCCUAACACAUGCAAGUCGAGCGAGCGGCGGACGUGAGUGAUACGUAUGGGGCUCUGCCUGCUGGUGGGGAAUAACUACUGGAAACGGUAGUUAAUCCCGCAUACCAUCGGCUGAUACCAUCUGGGAUUAGCUUGUAGGUAAGGUAACGGCUUACCGAGGCGACGAUCCCUAGUUGGUCUGAGAGGAUGAUCAGCCACACUGGGACUGAGACACGGCCCAGACUCCUACGUGAGGCAGCAGUGGGGAAUAUUGCACAAUGGGCGCAAGCCUGAUGCAGCCAUGCCGCGUGUAUGAAGAAGGCCUUCGGGUUGUAAAGUACUUUCAGUCGGGAGGCGUUACCGACAGAAGAAGCACCGGCUAACUCCGUGCCAGCCGCCGCGGUAAUUC